AUUGAACGCUGGCGGCAUGCCUUACACAUGCAAGUCGAACGGUAACGCGGGGCAACCUGGCGACGAGUGGCGAACGGGUGAGUAAUGCAUCGGAACGUGCCCAGUAGUGGGGGAUAGCCCGGCGAAAGCCGGAUUAAUACCGCAUACGACCUACGGGUGAAAGCGGGGGAUCGCAAGACCUCGCGCUAUUGGAGCGGCCGAUGUCAGAUUAGGUUGUUGGUGGGGUAAAGGCCUACCAAGCCUACGAUCUGUAGCUGGUCUGAGAGGACGACCAGCCACACUGGGACUGAGACACGGCCCAGACUCCUACGGGAGGCAGCAGUGGGGAAUUUUGGACAAUGGGCGCAAGCCUGAUCCAGCCAUGCCGCGUGCGGGAAGAAGGCCUUCGGGUUGUAAACCGCUUUUGUCAGGGAAGAAACGCUCUGGGAUAAUACCCCGGGGUAAUGACGGUACCUGAAGAAUAAGCACCGGCUAACUACGUGCCAGCCGCCGCCGUAAUAC
rnacentral:rRNA from 1 species